AGGUAUAGUUCAGGAUACUCUCUCAUCGGGUUCUGCAUAAGGUUCCGCCAGAGGCAUGCUCCCGUUGGUCUUUACAAUGACUGUGCAGAGUUUCACAUCCUCUGGAGCUACUGGGGCAGUUCUUUGGUCUUCAUGACAGCAAGAUUGAUCUGAUCUGCAGUGAUAGCUGUGAGGCCUCAUAAA